UGUGUGUGGCAUAUGCACAGGGAUGCAGGUACCCUAGGCUACUACAAGAAAGCAUCAGAUUCUCUGGAGCUGGAGUUGCAGGCAGCUGGCUGUAGGCUGCACUCUGCGGAUGAUGGAAACCGAUUUUGAGUCCUCUGGAAGAAAAGCAAAAAUUUUGUUGUUGGUGGUGGGUGGUGUCACUGUGUAGCCUUGAUUGUCCUGGAAUUCACUGUAAACAAGGCUGGCCUCGAACUCAGAGAUCUGCCUGCCUCUGCCUCCAUGUGCCAGCAUCACCUGGCAAAAAGCAAAAUUUUAACCGCUGAACCAUCUUUCCAGUCCCCCAUAAAUCUCAUAUUGGGAUUUACACCAUGCUGGGGAUAGAACGCAGGCCUCUGUGCAGACUAUAGACAAGCACUCUAUUACACUGACUACAUCCUCCCAAGCUCUCUGCUGUUGGCAUUUGAACUAAAAUCCUCCCCUUGUUAGAACAAGCACUUCAUUAACAGCAGGAGAAGCUUUGGUAGAAAUCUCCUGUGUUAGAGGGGCCCAAGACAGAGUAGGGAAUCAGGAAUCAGCUGUCUCUGCCCAGGGAGGGCAGAUGUAGGAAAUGAGAGUGAGGGCUGGAGAAGGAAGGAAUGGGAAAAGUGAAGACCCAGAGGUGAGAAAUGGCAACCCUGGGAGGUGGGGGUUGGGACCUGCAGAUAAAGCCCCACUCUCCACGAGCUAAGGUCCUGGCGAGCAAGAACUCACCAGCACAGACCCGGGAACUAACAGUGGGGUCUCAGUAGAGGGGCCCAGAAGGCUUCUAGGGCGAGCGCUCUUGAGCUAGCUGCUCCUGGGUCGGGCAGGGCUGCAUUUCCAGUGGCGUUCCCCAGCUUCAUUUGUGAGACCAAUUACAGAGCGUUUUGCACCACAAUUACCGGCGUUAAAACCUCUCAGUUCCGUUUGAUGAAUUUUAGUAGUAAUUGCACAGAGGAAGCAACACGCAGGAGAUGGUCCCACUGAAUCUGCCCACGCAAUGAACUGUGAAUUCCAGCCCUCCCUGAGCCGUCAUGAGAGAUUCUGGUGGGGGCUUGCCACUGCCCAUCCAGGGGCUCUUGUUCGGGGCCCAUGUGAGGGUUCAGACCUGUGUGUGGUGGAGCAGGGUCCCAGGUGGAAAGUGCCUCUCUAGCCAGAGACAGCACACAGUACCAGCUUUUCCUGUGGUGUCAGCUUCGUGGGUGUGGGAUGGAGACAGGAUCCAGGUGUCAUCUUCAAGCCUGUGAACCUGUAAGCACAGCUGCUUCAGCACUGGAAGCUGGAUUCGUAUCUUCAUAUAUUAUUUAUUGAACAAAUAAUUCCAUAAUGUUUCUUGUAUGCCGGCCGUGCUUCUAAGAAGAUCGCAAAUAUUAACUUCUCCUGCCCUUCAGAAUCCCAAGGCUCUAAGCACAGCAUUUCCGGAGGGCAGCCAUGAAACCAGCCACUCCAGGGUCCUCCCAGCUGGAGAAUGUUCUACGGAACCUUGCACCACACCUUGCUUUGUUGGCGGGGAAUUGUGGAGCUGAGUGAACACGCUCUGGCUUAUGAAAUCCCUCUUCCCCGCGCCUGACCUUGUGUGCCUUCAUUUCCUCCUUGAUCCCUUCAGAUUCACCACUUGUCAGGCGGGAUUGUCAAGCUGAAGGCUGACUUGGCAUUCUAGAACGGUGUGCUCCAAUACGUUAGACACCAGCCAGAAGUAGAGAGCAAGGAUUUUACAAUGAGGUUAGCUCCAACUACAGAUACAAUAUAGUAUAGUUUUAAAAGAGAAUGUAAAAUACCUUAUAUGCUUAUAUUGAUUAUAUGUUAAAAUAAUAUUUUGGAUUUA
rnacentral:lncRNA from 1 species